ACUCGACUAUGCGAGUAUAAACAGCCUUUAGGCAUAGUGCGUUCAUAAGAUACUUAUGAGGUAGAG
rnacentral:ribozyme from 1 species